GGCGGAGAGGGACGCCCCCUCCGGUCGCCGGCUUGACGGACGGCGCCGCCAGGCCAAUGGGAGGUGGUCGCCCCUCCCGGGACACCAAUCACAGGCUGUGGAGGCGAGCGGCCAAUCGGAGUGCCGCGAGAGGCAGUGGGCGGGAGGUACCGCGAGAUCGACAGCUCUGGGAGGCAAUGGGCUGCAGGCUGACGGCUUUGGGCGGGCAAAUUGAGGUGACGGGGGCGGCCGAAGGCCCAAUGAAGCGGGAGUUCCAGAAUCGCGGGGCGGCUUCUGAACCGGAUUGACGGCUCCUAAGAGUCAAGCGGACAGGAAGGAGGAGUCUGGCGAAAGACUUCUUUGAACGGGCUGGGUGGGCGUCCAGUGAGAUCGUCGUGUACGCAAGCCAAUGGGUACACACGGAAGGCGGUCUUUACAGAGAUUGGCAAUUAAUUUAUGCCAAUCUCUGGCGAGGUCGGUGUGAUGCGCUUGCGUUAGGACUGAGUUACUUUAGCGUUAACCAGAAUCCUUUUCUAGUCCCGUCAUCUAAGCCAAUGGCUGAGUGGCGGGGGAGGGUGUAAGGUGACUGACCUCACCCUAGGCAAAUGACAGUGAAGGAAAUGGAGGUGCCCCGUUUUGGUGGGAGCUAGUGGAAGCGCCGCUGCAUUGGGGCGGGGUCAGCCACCAGAAGCCGGGAGGGGAUUAGCCGGAACCGGAUUGAAUGGCAGCCGACGUGGGCAUUGGCCACCGGCUGCAGGAAUUCAGGCCUGACGUCUGGGUUAGAGUCCCCGGACGCCGGCCGGGGAUCUAGAGUGCUUACUUCUCUUUCAGAAAUGGAACCAGCUCUCCUGCCAACUCAAGGGUCUAGAUUUCCUCCCAGCACCGAGGGAUCCUAGACUCUUAAUUCGACACCCUACACCAGCUUCACAUAAGGUCCUUGGAUCCGAGCUCCAAGCUCUGAUCUAGGCCCUCAGUUUAUCUUCUGGACCCAGGCGUCUUCCAGGCUUCCAAUUCCCGUUCAAGACUAAGAGGCCCAAGGACAAGUCGUAGCAAGCCAAACUGGAGUCCAGACUAGUCCCAGGCUGCACCCAGGGGAGGAGGCACCAGGAAUCUUCUGACCCAGGCAACCAGCCUGCUUCUCCUGAAAAGUCUGCCUUCGGUCCCGAGCCUGGAAGGCCCUUUGGGGCCAGGAGACACUGGAUCUUCCCCUCCAUUUCUGCCCAGGGUGGUGGACAGUGUCACAGACGACAGACUGACCAAGCCACUAGGGUCCUUCAUGUCCCUGCCUGAUUUCAGCCAGAGACACUUGAGCAUCUAGGAGAGAAGAAGGCCAGGAGGAAGCUCUCCAUGGGCCUGGGUUCACACCACCCCUGCCAACCCCUCUGCAGGACCCACACCUCGUAGACGGCCAGGUCGGUGCAGGCAUACGGGAUGAUGCCAAGCAUGUUGGGGAGGUACCCACGGUAAAGGGCACGGGUGCCCUCCUGUUCCAGGAUCUGCCUGGCGCAGUCCAGCAGCCCCUUGUACUGG